AGUAACUGUUUGAACUGUGUUGGAAGAGGAUGUGUGGGCCAGUGUGGUAGACUAGCGGGUGGUAAUUUCGGGUGCUGCAGCUCUCCAGCCCAAGGUGUUGACUGGGUAGUCUUUGAGUGCCUCCCAACAUGUUAGUGAGGUCCUGAGCUGAUGUACCCUAUGGCGAAGAGUGAGGCGGUAGUUUCCUGAAGUAAUGCAUGGUAUGAGAUGGCACCCAGGCUAACCAGCAGCCGGCACCAACUCUGGCCGACGUCGGGGUGGACAAGGCCCAGAUCCAGUGGGGAGGAAGUCUACAGUAACCUGUAAAAGGGUGUUGGUUUUUCUCGCUGAAGCUCGUACUUGUGCAAUUUUGAUUGGUGGAUUGUGACUUGGUCCUUCUCGUGAUCUACGGCAAGAAAGUGUAGUGGCCUGUUGGACGGCCCGUACAGCGAGGCGCGAGAGUUGGAAAUGUUUCCAACAUUACGUCAGAUACUCCUCCUCUGCUGCAGAUUUGGAAGAUCUGCAAGAUUGUGGGUUGUGGAAGGUUCGAACAUAACUUCAGGAACAGUUGCAGAACAAUCGCUGGAAGUGUUAAAUGCUACAGAAAGUAGCAGUUGUCAGAAUUAGAGGGCAAAAGUGGUAAUUUCGGGUGCUGCAGCUCUCCCGCCCAAGGUGUUGACUGGGUAGUCUUUGAGUGCCUCCUAACAUGUUAGUGAGGUCCUGAGCCGAUGUACCCUAUGGCGAAGAAUGAGGCAGUAGUUUCCUGAAGUAAUGCAUGGCAUGAGAUGGCACCCAGGCUAACCAGCAGCCGGCACCAACUCUGGCCGACGUCGGGGUGGACAAGGCCCAGAUCCAGUGGGAGGAAGUCUACAGUAACCUGUAAAAGGGUGUUGGUUUUUCUCACUGAAGCUCCCACUCGUGCAAUUUUAUGACUGGUGGAUUGUGACUUGGUCCUUCUCGUGAUCUACAGGAAGGAGUCUUUGCACCUGUUUCCUAAGACUGACAGCAUGAGGUGCAUCUUCCAGCUUCGGUCUUGGAGAAGUUGUAAAUUAGGUGGAGACGCAUUAUCUGCAAUGACUGUUGCAAUGUAUUGAAAUGAGUUUAAAAACUCUGGAAAGUGCAGCGGCCUGUUGGACCACCUGGACAGCGAGGCGCGAGAGUUGGAAGUGUUUCCACCAUUACGUCAGAUACUCUUCCUCUGGCGCAGAUUUGGAAGAUCUGCAAUAUUGUGGGUUGUGGAAGGUUCGAACAUAACUUCAGGAACAGUUGCAGAACAAUCGCUGGAAGUGUUAAAUGCUACAGAAAGUAGCAGUUGUGUCGGAAUUAGAGGGCAAAAGUAAGUUUAUUUAGUUUAAUAGGUAAAAUGUGUUAACAUAAUUUUUACCUAAAUAUUUAAUGAAAUUGUGAAGGGGCCUGGAAAUUGGGUAAAUAGAAACUAGCUUAAGGCCUUGACUAGUGGGUACUAUAUCCUAAAGUUAAUUAUUGCAGGAAUUGUGAUUUGAAUAGAAUAAAUGGGACUUUUUUAAUUUGUGAAUGUAAA